UCUUCCCUUGUCCUCCCCCUCCUAACCCUACAAGUGUGAAAAGCUGCAGAAUUUGUACGUGACAGUACGUCACAGUACCUGCACGCACACAAACAAACAUAUGGAUUCCACCAGCCUCCUGCAAGCCAGUCUCAUCGCCCAUCGACUUGGAAAAAAUCGUGAGGCCCGCGUGGAGAAAUACACCCCUUGUGACAAACACGGCUGACCACUUGUCAAAAUCCCGUCGUAUGUGCUAGUAAUGUUGUAAUUACCACCAUACCGUGCCCUUUAUGCGCACCCGCUAGGAGCCGCUAUUCUUAAGAUUAUCCGAAAGUUGUUUUUAAGUUCAGUUGCAAAAGCAAUUUUUACAGUAUCACUACAUUGUCAUUAACUAAAAAUUUCAGAGCACACAAAAGGACAAGGAGCACAGUGGAGAGGGGGAUUGGCCAGUGGAAGCGGAGAUUUCAUGUGCUCCAUGGUGAAAUCAGAGUCAGCCCUCCUGCAUAUGUGUGUAGAAUAAUACAGGUGUGUGCUAUUUUGCACAACAUCUGCAAAGACAGACGCCUCCCUGUACCCGAGGAAGGAGAGGACGAGGGUGAUGGUGCAGUUUUCCAUGAGGACCCACCUGUCCCACUACCACCUGUACCUGGACGAGUUCGGGAAGGUCUGCUCUACAGGGAUGAGUUUGUCAACCUUCACUUCAUUGACAGACCUCAACCUCAGCCUCGUGCAGCUGUGUGAUGCUUCCCGACCCAUCAACAGGUUAAUUCCACACCUACUUCCAACUCUGCAGCCUGCAGUUCAAGUUCCCUCUUCAGGCGGAUGAACUGCAGCUCCUCCUCAUCCACCAACAUGGUGCAGGUCCCAACUGGUGUACUGGAGGAAGCUGCAGCGGCAGGAACUACUGGUGGUGGUGUGGUGGUGGUUUGAGGUGUGUCUGUGCUGGGUUGGGGAGGGACAGGUGGUGUGACAUCCACCUGAAGACUCCUGGCAAAAAUACAUCCAUCAGUACCUGCACUCAUAAUUUUCUUGUGUUAUUUGACUUACAUCCCCAUUUAUGGAAACAAUACAGUUUAGGUUGAAAAGCCUUUGCAGGAAAGGAGUGUGUGUU